GCCGGGGUGGCGAAACGGUAGACGCGGCGGACUUAAAAUCCGCUGUCCCGUCAGGGACGUGUGGGUUCGACUCCCACCCCCGGCA
rnacentral:tRNA from 1 species